rnacentral:rRNA from 1 species
CUACGGGCCGCACCAGUCGGGAAUUUUGCUCAAUGGGGGAAACCCUGAAGCAGCAACGCCGCGUGAGGGAUGACGGCCUUCGGGUUGUAAACCUCUUUUGUCAGGGACGAUAAUGACGGUACCUGAAGAAUAAGCCACGGCUAACUACGUGCCAGCAGCCGCGGUAAUACGUAGGUGGCAAGCGUUGUCCGGAUUUACUGGGCGUAAAGAGCGCGCAGGCGGCCAGGUCAGUCGAAUGUGAAAGCCCCCGGCUCAACUGGGGAAGGUCGUUCGAUACUGCCUGGCUCGAAGAUAGGAGAGGGAAGUGGAAUUUCAGGUGUAGUGGUGAAAUGCGUAGAUAUCUGAAGGAACACCAGUGGCGAAGGCGACUUUCUGGCCUAUUCUUGACGCUGAGGCGCGAAAGCUAGGGGAGCGAACGGGAUUAGAUACCCUAGUAGUC